GGGAAGGUAGCUCAGUGGUAGAGUGCUUGCCUAGCAUGCAUGAGGCCCUGGGUUCAAUUCCUCAGCACCA
rnacentral:tRNA from 1 species